rnacentral:ncRNA from 1 species
UCAAGCCCAAGGAACAAAAGUUUUGGUCCUGAACCUACCACUAUUUUUUCCCAAAACUAUACAUGCAAGUCUCAACAAAACAGUGAGUAACCCACCAAAUCAACGAAGAACAAAUGGAGAAAACAUUAGACCGCGAGAACCCUCGUCAAAACAAUUGGACCCCCACGCCUACACAGGAACUCAGCAGUAAUUAACAUUAGGCCAUAAGCGCAAGCUUGACCUAGUUAUAGGAAAGAAAGCCGGUAAAACUCGUGCCAGCUACCGCGGUUAUACGAGAGGCUGAAAAUAGUGCCAUCCGGCAAAAACAUGGCCAGAGCGUGUCAACGGGUUUAAGAGGAAAGGAAAAGCAAGCCGUCCAACGNUNAGNACAAANGNAACCCCCAACCUUAACCCCCCCCCCGACCCCUUAAACCAUAAAAGCCAGGGAACAAACUGGGAUUAGAGACCCCACUAUGCCCGGCUGUAAGAGGCGCCCGCCCGCCCGAUAAAUACGAGCGAAAGCUUAAAACUCAAAGGACUUGACGGUGUCCCACAUCAACCUAGAGGAGCCUGUCCUAUAAUCGACACCCCCCGUUAAAACCUCACCGCCCCUAGCCAAUCAGUCUAUAUACCGCCGUCGUCAGCUCACCCUGCAAAAGAACAAAAAUGAACAAAAUAGUCCGCCACACUAAAACGACAGGUCAAAGCGUAGCACAUGGGGCGGGCUGAGAUGGGCUACAUUUUCUAAAGCAGACUACACCAAAAGCGCAUGAAACAACGCCAAACAGGCGGAUUUAGCAGUAAGGUGGGACAGCGAGCCCACCUGAAUACAGCACUGGGACACGCACACACCGCCCGUCACCCCCCUCCCCCCGCAAUAAAACCUUCAUAAAACCAACGCACACCUAAGAUGGGGAAAGUCGUAACAAGGUGAGCGUACUGGAAAGUGCGCUCGUGCAC